ensembl:lncRNA programmed cell death 1 ligand 1-like
GUCCUUAGCUCUGCUGCCCACUGAGCAAGUUGUCUGUUUUUUAUUCCAGGUCAGCCAGACACAACGUGCCAUGCAUUUGUGGGAGAAACUGUCAUUUUGCCUUGUACCAUCACCUCUCCUGGAGAGCUAGAUGUUUCCGAUUCAAAGCUCUACUGGCAGAUAGAGUCUACUAUAGUGCAUUUUUUUCACAAUGGGGAAGAUUCACUGAGGUACCAGGAUAUAAAUUACCGUGGCAGAACCAGUCUUUUUUUGGAUGAGGUGAAGCAUGGCAACUUUUCUCUACAGCUCUCCAACAUCCGAUUAGAGGAUGCAGCUGAAUAUACUUGCAUCUAUAAACAGGCUAGGACUCUCUCCAACAAAACACAGAAAUCUAAAAUUAAACUCAAUGUAUCAGAUCACAGUCAGGCUUCCCCAAGAAGUCCUGGUGAUGCACAGGGACUAGAUAUACUUGCUCUCUCUUUUCAUCUCCUGGUAACACUGGUGGUUUGGCAUUUGUGACUGGGAAAGCUAAACUUUGGUUUGGGAAGUCCUCCUCAUCAGAGGAUCUUGCUGUACAGAAGAGCUCUGUAAGGAUAAGACUGCUCUGGAGCCACAUAACAUAGGCACCAAUAUUUGAAAACACCUAGCAGUAGGUGUUUAUGUUCUGUAUUUUGGUGCACAAAAGAAACCAAAGGCAGUAAAACUCAGAGGUGGCAAGCCUGUUUUUUCAUUUGUUUCUUGAAGCCCAAUUUUAGUGCUGUCAGUGUGAGCAUUUUAGUAUUUGAUGGUUUUGCUUUGAUGACAGCUUCAGUUUAGAUAAAGACCUACAAAGCCACAGCAUGAUGUUAUAACUCACCCUAGGGAGAUCUUCUGCUUAAGAUCCCAUCGGCAGUCCUUCAAGCAAAUUGAAAGGAGAAGGAGUAAUUACCCUCUGCGUCAGAUAAAAACUGGAAGUAGGAAGAGGCUCUCUUUGUGAAACAUAAGGAUGGAAACCUUGUGAAAUUUGAGCCUGAGGAACUUCAGCUUCUAUUUUUACUCUUAAACAUCAUGGCUAUCAGUAGUGAUUUUUUUUUCCAAAAGAAAUGAACUAUUCAGCAGAAGGGUAAAGCUGACAGAUGAAGAUGAUGGAGGUUAGAAAACUUCAGUGCAGAGGAAGAAGGUGCUGUGUUAUUACAAAACCCACUUCUAGUAAGUCAAAGGCUUUAGAAGGCUGAAUUUAGUAUUUUCUCGCCAUGAAAGGUGGAGAAGUAAAUGCCAUCAUCAGGCAAAGGCUGUAUUCUUAAGCUAGAACUGCGUGAUAAAAGAUUGAUAUUGUGACACUGUUUCUUGUUUAAAAAUGACACCUUCAGAUGAGAAAAGGAAUUAAAAAUUGGUCAAGGAAUGAUAACUGUUAUCCAUGCAGAUAAAAUGUUCAGUGCAAGUAGUGUAAGAUGUCUAGCUUAGUAAAGCUAAGGUUGAAAGGAUCCUGUCUACCAGCAAUAUCAAGAAAAGCACAGAAGCUUUGUGUCAGGCCAGAGCUGUUGCAACUGCGCUACUACAGAACUGAGAAGUGUCUGGAGAACUGCUCACCUGGGUCGGUGUGAAGAGUGGYGAUUGCAAUGCAGUCAUUUUGCAUGCACCCUCAAGCAGAGGAAAGUGACUCAUAAGGAUGCAUAUAGAGUCAUUUUGAUUUGAAACAGUUCCACCCUCUUUCCAGAGGACAAGGGUUGUUUUUGCAAGGAAAGGACCUGAACAAAACAGUGCUUAAAAUAGUAUCCAUUGAGGUAAAGACUGUUAACUUUGACUUUCAUUGGCAAAUGGCCCUUUCCCCACAGUGGGGAAAAUGGACAAAAUGACACACACAGUGUGCAAUGCUGCAGCACUGAUGCUCAUGGGCACUCAGGCUGCCCUUGCUACAGAGCAGCUUAGUGCAGCAACUGGGGACCAAUUUAACAGACAGAUUUGAGUAUUAAAGCACAUACAUACUGUGAUUGUCUCCUUUGUCCCACCCUCCAAACAUUGUUUGUCUCAGAUUAUAUAUAUUUUUCAAAACAGAAGAGUUAAUUAAAAAUAAAGCCUUAAAUUCUGAAAAAAAACUGUUAAGA